rnacentral:rRNA from 1 species
GACGAACGCUGGCGGCGUGCCUAAUACAUGCAAGUCGAACGCAGUGGGGACGGGGGAGCAACACGUGGGUAACCUCCAAUCAGGGGGGAUAACACUAGGACACAGGUGCUAAACCGAUACUGAUGGAUGGACCCGCGUUGCAUUAGCUAGUUGGUGAGGUAACGGCUUACCAAGGGCACGAUGCAUAGCCGGCCUGAGAGGGUGAUCAGCCACCCUGGGACUGAGACACGGUCCAGACUCCUACGGGAGGCAGCAGUGGGGAAUCUUCGGCAAUGGACGAAAGUCUGACCCAGCAACGCCGCGUGAGUGAAGAAGGCUUUCGGAUCGUAAAGCUCUGUUGGUGGAGAGGCGUUAUCUAAACAGGAAGCCACGGCUAACUACGUGCCAGCAGCCGCGGUAAUAC